GCAUUAUUCAGUGCGGGCUGAAAGGAGUUAUUUUGUCUUCCUGCAUGGAGAGCAGGAGGGCCCCCUGACUUCUGCUUGCCAAAUUAUACGUGUCUGUCCUUUAAUUAGACGUGUCUUUCCCACCCGCUGUGCUGGACGCGGCAGGUGGCGCUGGAACAGGGACUUGAAGUCGGGAAGGAUUCCUCCCGAGGGAAACACUGAACGUGAAGACAGCGAGCGACUGAGAAACCACGUGAAAAGGCAGUGUGCUCGGGCGGCGGCUCGCGUUAACCCUUCCGCCCCUUCACCAUCCAAGCCUGAGGGCGAUUUUCCACCACCGCCGCCUCCACUGGGUCCAGAAAUGUCUCGGGAGCAUUAGCC
ensembl:lncRNA